GAUGAACGCUGGCGGCGUGCCUAAUACAUGCAAGUCGAGCGAAUGGAUUGAGAGCUUGCUCUCAAGAAGUUAGCGGCGGACGGGUGAGUAACACGUGGGUAACCUGCCCAUAAGACUGGGAUAACUCCGGGAAACCGGGGCUAAUACCGGAUAAUAUUUUGAACUGCAUGGUUCGAAAUUGAAAGGCGGCUUCGGCUGUCACUUAUGGAUGGACCCGCGUCGCAUUAGCUAGUUGGUUAGGUAACGGCUCACCAAGGCAACGAUGCGUAGCCGACCUGAGAGGGUGAUCGGCCAAACUGGGACUGAGACACGGCCCAGACUCCUGCGGGAGGCAGCAGUAGGGAAUCUUCCGCAAUGGACGAAAGUCUGACGGAGCAACGCCGCGUGAGUGAUGAAGGCUUUCGGGUCGUAAAACUCUGUUGUUAGGGAAGAACAAGUGCUAGUUGAAUAAGUUGGCACCUUGACGGUACCUGACCAGAAAGCCACGGCUAACUACGUGCCAGCAGCCGCAGUAAGAC
rnacentral:rRNA from 1 species